ensembl:lncRNA
CUCUCAGGACACUCUCCAGGUUUCACAUCCUUCACUUGGCAUCCCCAGCAACCGAGAUGCAGCUGUACUGCUUACAAUAUUCCCUAGCUAGGAUAUCUGCAGCACACGGGAGUGUCUGCACAGAACCUGAUGAUCCUCGUGUUUGUGUCAGCAGACCUGCAUGGCUGGUCAAAAUUACUUUUCAGAGCAACAAUUCUGAAGCACCAUCUGCAAAGCACAAGAAUGCAUCAUACCAUGAGAGUACAAAAUAUAUGCGUCUCCAUCCAAGAUACUGGGCUAUCUCCCCCUGCCAUAUGCUUUAACUGCUAAGCUAAGUUCCCUUUCCUGAGCAGGUGCCAAACAGUAAAAACAGCAUAACCCCUUGAGUUACAUCCAGGGUUCCUGGGUCUUCAAGUGAUCAUGAUUCAAUGGCUGAAAAUUUAAAUGAACGUGCAGUAUUCAUGGCUGACUGUGUAGGUAAAGAGAACUAGAAAGAAGGAAUAAGAAGAUAGUAACCUGAAAUAGGCUUCAGCUUUCUUUUUACUUUUUACUUUUUAUUUUAUUUAUUUUAUUUUAUUUAUUUUAUAUUUUAUUUUAUUUUAUUUUAUUAAUGUUGGACUCCUGUGUCUCACAAAGCAGGAGGAAACUCACAGAGGGAUUAAGGAGAGAGCAUACAACAACAUCAGCUAAGGGCUAAAAAAAACUUGUUUAAUUUAAAGAUGCUCCAAUUCACUGUCACUUCCUUAUUUAAAAAA